rnacentral:lncRNA from 10 species
AUGCAGGCAAGAUGGCGGAAGGGGAGGACGUGGGAUGGUGGCGGAGCUGGCUGCAGCAGAGCUACCAAGCAGUCAAAGAGAAGGUAAGCCGGGCCCGUGCCCUUCUUCCCUCAGCAGGGCCCUGCGCCGCCUCAAUGCAACCUGGUCCAACCAGCCCCGCCCAACUUUUGCGGGCGCUAAGUCUCAAGGAUGAGGCUGACCUGGGCCUUUCUUUUAGCCUCUACCGGUCCACGGGAAGACAGACCUCGACGCAAACCAGUGUGAUACUAGCCACAGUGAAAUAAAGAUGGUUUUAAAGGCUGGAGUUAACGAACGUUUUGUAGGAAUCCAUAGGAAGGAGCAAUUUAUUCCAGCUCAGGAAAUUCAGUUUCUUCGUGAAAGAGAGAGCAUUUGAUACAGGUCUUGAAGGAAAAGAUUCUAGCAGUAAAAAAACUUACUCGUAUAGUCAUUCAAAUAUUAGAGUAUAUGCGACAACCAGCACUCUGAUAGGUCUUGAGGAUACAGACUUCAGCCAAACAGAUGUAAUCCUGGGCCUUACAAAGCUCACAGUCUAGUGGAGAGA